UAAUCAAAUAAACUAAUACUAUUUCUGGCAGUGGGCGUGGUCAUGACAUGACUCAGAGCAUGCGCACUAAAGUUCUUCUGGAGGGUUUCUUAUUAAGGGACGUUAGCUUUCUGAAUAUUAUUGUGCUGUAAAUUCAUAUUUUAUUUAUUUUAUAGUUUUGUGGUGCUGUACGCAAUGAAUGUGAGCUGGUUUUUCUCUUUUACCUUCCUGCUGCUGAUACACAAAGUGUCGGUGGAGAGUGUCACUGUUGAAGGUAUUAUAGGACAAACAGUGAACUUACCGUGUUCAAUCGAACAGAAGCCGCAGACUGUGUUUUGGCGAGACAGAGACGAGAGGACGUGUGUGACAUAACUGAUGGUAAAGCAGAUUUCAGUGAGCAGGAUGAAGCCUAUAAGGGCAGAGUUGAAAUUCUUCCAUCAGAAUUCUCCAUCAUGCUGAGCAAUGUGAAGAAAUCUGAUGAAGGAACGUACACCUGCUAUGACCCCAGCAAAGAUCCUCCGAACAAAGUAGAACUGAAGGUUAAAGGUUUGUCUCAUCAUGUCAUUGAAAACUCUGUGGCAAAGUCUGAACCUCCUGGCAGAGGCAAUCAGGAGAUAGUUUGGCUCAAAUAUCCCGGUACAUAGCAGAAUUCUUGAUGCCAUCAAUCUUCACCAGAGUCCCUGAACCACCAGCCACGAAACAACCCCAUAGCACCUCCAUGUUUUACAGCAGCUAUCAGAGAGAGAAGUGAAGCGAAUCACACCACCGAGUACUGCCCCACCAAACGGCGAAUCCACGAGACGAGCAGACGGUCUGUUAACGUUCCUGUUGGGAUGUGCUCUGCUCUACAGCUUAGCCUUCUGAAGAAAACCCCCAAGCUCAGUGUGUGCAUUAGCUUCACAUACAGGCAUCACAGGAAUUUCUUUUACAGAUUUCUGUUCAUUUGGUAAUGUUUAUAUUUGUAUAUUUGUGCGAGUUUUGCAGCACAGUACCCAAUGUUUCCAAAAAAGCAGUAUGUCUCAGACAAAAGUCCUUCAUCAGCUGUGCAAAGUGUAUAAGGCAUUGUGUUUUGUGUGCUACAGCUUUAAAAGCACUUUACUCAGUACAUGAGUAUAUUUAUGUCAGCCUGAUAGACCUAACAUACUCCUCUUCUUCUCUCCAUUUUCAUGGGUCACAGGUUGUGACAUAGGGCCAUGAAAUUCGGCAGAAUCAUAGAUCCUAUAUGGGAAUAAUGUGCUUGUGCUUUUUUUGUGUGUGGAGUCACGGGUGCUGUGUAGUAACUCUCCAAAGUGCGUUUUCCCCCAUAGGAAUACAUUGAUGUUUUGUUGAUCAUGCUUUCACAUGAUUUGAGCCUUUCUUCAUUCAGCUAUACUGAAGACAUAUAAGCCCCACCCCCAAACACACACACACACACACACACACACACUCUCUUUUAAAGAGGAUGUAGUGACACUUAGAACCAAGAACAAGAAAGAUUUUUGAUUCAAUAAGUUAUAAUUUAGGAGUGACUUUCAUAUGAUCAGUGUUUUAAAAACAUUUCUGAUCUUGUUUCAGAUUGUUAACACUGAAUUUCAUGUUGGCAGGGAACAUCUUUAUUACACACUCCAGUGACGCUUCAUAUUGCACUAUAUAUUGAUUUUUAAGUAGCAUAGAUGAUGCUCAGGCUAGCUAGUUAGAUAUGCUGAAUAUCAGCUCACUUUAACCAAGAAAAUCAAAGCACAGUCACGUUAUUUCACAUCCGUUAAAGCACAGUAUUUAUAGUUAUUUUAGUUGUCUACCAGAGUAUACUGGUGGUUGAAAAUAAAUAAAGAAUAUGCUCAAAUUGCAGAUUUUGAGCUUUAUUUGGAUGGUAUUUAUAUCCAAAUUGGGUGAAUGGGGCAGGAACCCCCCCCCCCCCCCCUUGUUUUUUUAAAGGGACCAGAAGUUAUUGGACAAACAACAUAUUGUUAAAAUUGUCAUUUUUAAUAUUUGGUUGCAGAUCCUUUGUAGUCAGUGACAAUUUAUCUUAUGAUUGUUAGUUUAUCCAAUUACUUUAUUAUUACUGGUGCUUGCGAUGAAAUGCAACAUCGCAUCCAAACUGGCUGAAUGGGGUAGGAAUUAACACCCCCCCUUUUAAGGGACCAAAAAUAAUCACAAGUUGAACUGUCAUUUUUAAUACUUGGUUCCAAAUCCUUUGUAGUCAGUUACUGCCUGAAGUCUGGAACCCAUAGACGUCAUCUAUGUUUUGCCUUCAGUAAGGGAAAUGCAUCUCAGUUUCAGCUCAGGUGAUUGACUUGGCCAUUGCAGAACAUUCCACUUUUUUUGCCUUAAAAUAGUCUUGCGUUGCUUAUGAAGUAUGCUUCAGGUCAUUGUCCAUCUGUACUGUGAAGCUCCAUCCAAUGAGUUUUGAAGCAUUGCAGAUAAUAUAGCUCUGUACACUUCACAAUUCAUCCUGCUGCUUUUAUCAGCAGUCACAUCAACAAAUACAAGGGAACCGGUUCCACUGGCAGUCAUACACACCCACAUCAUAAGAUGAGGUAGUACACUUCAUAUCACAAGCAGUUCCUUCCCUUCUCCAUACUCUUCUCUUCUCUUCAUUCUGCUUCAAGUUGAUAUUUGUCUCAUCUGCCCAUAGGAAGUUGCUCCAGACACGUACAGGUUUUCUUUUUUAACAUGUUUUUGGCAAAAUCUGGUCUUCCUGAUUUUUUUCUUCUGGUCUUACCACUGGUUUGUAUCUCGUGGUAAACCCUCUGUAUUUACUCUGCUGAAUCCUUCUCUCGUUUGUUGACUUUGACACAGCCUACCUCCUGGAGGAUGUUCUUUAUCUGGCUGAGUGUUGUGAAGUGUUUUUUCUUCAUCAGGGGAAAAAAAAACUUUGUCAUAUACCACAUGGUCUUCUGGGCCUUUUGGUGUUCUGCAGCUCAUUAGUGCAGUCUUCCUUUUUAAGAAUUUACCAAAUAGUUGAUAGUGGAACAGCUGAGCAGCUAGUUACUUUUGGUCCCUUAAAAAAGGUGGGGACCCCAAAAAAAGUGCUGUAAUUGCUACACCAUUCAUCUGAUUUAGAUGUAAAUACCCUCAGAUUAAAGCUGAAAGUCUGCACUUUGAUCUCAUAUUCAUUAUUUAAUUUCAACUCCAGUAUACUGUGGUAGACAGCAGGAAUAACAAUAAAUCUGUCAAUGUUCCAAUAUUUAUGGACCUGACUGUAGCUUUAAAAACAGGAAAGAAACUGUUAGCUAUGCGAUAAGACAAUUUCAGAUAAUUUAACCAAAAUUUGGACAGAAACUAACUAUUGAACUUCCUAUAGUAUGACUAUGGAAGCAUUCUUAUGUACAGUUUUGUACUAAUUGCAAUGAUUUUCAUAUGUUGUUUAUACUGCUGAGGACUUUUCAUGAUGAAGUAUAUGACAUUGUUAUUGUGUUAUUGUACAUUUCAUUUAAAAUGUAGUAAACUUGGUUUUUUGGCCAUUAAUCUAUACACACAAAUCCAUAAUGACACAGCGAAACAUGAUUUUUGAUAUUUCAGCAAAUUUAUUAAAAAUAAAAAAUUGGAAUCUCUUAUCUAAAUAACUGUUCACAGCCUUUAUGCAGUACGCCUGAAUUUGGUAAGUUUCUCCCAUUCUUCCUGUCAGAUUCUCUCAAGGACUCCAGUGAAGUUCUAAAGACAUCUCAGGAUAGUCAAAGCAAACAGGAUGAACCUGAACUCAGUUUGGAGUGCCUUUAGACAAGGGUCUGUCAUUAUGGAUUACUGUGUGUAGAUUAAUGGCCAGAAAAACCUGAAUUUAAUCAGUUUUAAUUUAGAUAAAUUGUGUAAAAACGGAACCAAACUCACUGUGUGUAUGUUACUGGCUCUGGCUACUGUGUUUUGUUUUUUUUUUUGCUCAUUACUAUUUAUUUCAUUUUGUAUUUGUUCUGUAAUUUUAUAAAAUAUAGCUGUGUUCCAUUUACUCAGUAUCCACAAGGACAUUUUGGUGGCUGUCAGAAAACAGGAAACACAUGGCAUACGUGAGUUUACUUAUAAAUGCAGGUCAAGUUUUGCUACCUGUGGCAUCACAAAGCUUGUACAUUUGUCCUUGUAUUUGUAAAUGUGUAAAAUCAGGCUAGUUUUUGCUACAGUAUUAGUUUGCAAAACAUCUUGCUUGUGUGUGCGUGAGUGUGUGUUCAGAAUUCCAAAUGGCAGUUUUCAAACAGUCCAUGUUUAUUCAAAGUUCAUCUCUGGUACAGUUUCUAAAUGGACAUGAGUAUCUGAUGAAAAGCAAAAUGUCCUGGUGAAUGUAGUGUAACUGCUCCUUAAAUCAUCCAAAAACAUUUCUUUCACUGCUUUUUUGAAGUUUACUAAACCAGUAUUACUUUGCAUUGAUAGUUUACAUUGAUGAUAAAGGAUCAGGUCAAAUGAAUUCUGAUUAACUUUCUGUUGAAUUAUCAUGGUAAUUACUGAAAAUGUACACCUAUUGAAACUUAUUACUAUGAUAAUGUUAUAAAUAACACAAUUGUUAUUUAGGCUCUGAUAAAUAAAAACAUAGAAUUGAAAGAGGGUGUACUUUCUUUUCCCAUGACUGUAUGUCCAUAUCAGACAGUUGUGCUUCCCUAUUUAUAACC